rnacentral:lncRNA from 1 species
AACGUGGUCUGGCAGAUACUUGAACUUCAAUAAAAGACAGUGGUGAUGGUGAUGAUGAUUGACAUGUCACAAGGCAGAGCUGGAACAGCGAGAUGCAAAAAUCUCAAGCCUUCAAAGCCAGCUCCUGGAGAAGAGAGAGGGCCUGGCAGCUGAGCUGAAUGCUUCAGAAGCAGAGGAUCUAUCAACUGCAGACCAAGCAUAGGGAGACGCAGACAAACCUGGAACAGUAACCCAGCCAGCUCCAAUCGCUCCGACAAUGCUUGGUGGCUGGACAGUGG